GUCAUGAAACAUUCAACCAUUUCAGAUUCGAUUCGAUUUAAGCCAAAUAAAAUUAUCAGCUUAUGCGACACUCUUAGAUAUUUAUUGAUUAGUUGAACCAAAAAAAACAGACACACACACACACACACAAUAAAGACAAAAGAAAUCCAUCAAAUUGAUAUGAUUCAGUGCCAUUCGGUUUAAAGAUUAUAUUCGAAAAAUUACCAGCGACACAUACCGUUCAUGCACACUAAACGAUGAAUAGCGCAAUUGAACAAAAGUCAUCGAUUUUAAAAAUACAACAUGAAAUAUGCAUACAUUAACGGGCAUAGAACAUUGAGAUAACAUCGCGACAAAGAUAUUGAGCUCUCUCAGUCAGUAAUAAUGGCUCUUCUUACGUAUGUAUCAUUAUCGUCGAUGAAAUAAUAACCUGAUUUUCAGCAAACAUGGAGUAAAAAAUCAUCGCUCUUUCUCGUUGCAAACAUAGACUUUCUUUCUUCGGUUCUUCGUCUUUUUUCUUCUUUUAUUUCUGUUCUGCCAAAUUGUCGCUCUCGCUUACUUGAACCGUAGAAUAUUUUCCGUCGUUUGUGUAUUGAAUGCCGCACACAUAUCCACCGUUCCCUCUUCGGUUGGCAAUUCUAUCCAGAAUUCGUUCUGUUGCCCAUCAUCACACACACCACUACCAACACACCCAUAAACAGCGAAGACAAGAUGAAACGCACUGGAUUUUAUACACAUGGAACGAAAUGAGACCCAUCAUUCUUCUCAACGAAAUUUGUAGAUAUAUACAAAAUGAUUUUGAUGCGAUCACGUCUUUUUUCUAUAAUAUUUUUUUUUGGAAACGUGCGCGUUUAAUGUUGAAUCGUGCGAUUUUGGCACGAUGCGAUUUUGAGAAAAUUAUACCAAGCGAAACAAGUGAACACCAAUCAGAUUAACAGACUUGAAUCGUUUUAUUUUUGCUACCUUGGAUGCUGUAAAUUACGAUAAUCUGUGGGUUUUUUUCUAUAUAUUUUAUUGUCGAUUAAAAUGUAGUGGUUCGUUUGCUCGACGAGAUAUAUCAUUCUUUUCUCUUGUCAAGCGGUAAAAUGCUCAUUUCUCUGUGAGUUCGGUGACUUUGCUUCAAAAAUCGGUCGUGCAUGAUUUUAUUGGAAUAUUUACAAUUUAUUCAUCAUUCGAAAUUGAGAAGAAAAAAUGAAAACAAUUCCGAUUGAAACAAAGAAAAACCGUUUUCAGGGAACUGUGUCAGUUGUUGUAUGACUCAAGCCAUCGUCAUAGUUUCACAAUGAAAAAACGCAAUUACGUGUAUGUGGCUGGCAACAAGUACAAAUAUUUUUGAAGACGUUGCAUAUUAAAAUUGUGACUUGAAGUGCUAAAUGUUUUUAUGGUCAUAUCAAAUGGCAAAAUUAUUUCAAAUAAAAUGAAAUUUGUUAUAACACUUCUUCCCCUUUAAAUCAAUCAAGAGAAAAACCAAGUCAAUUUUCGGCUGUGGGAAUAAUGGGCCGGAAUUUGUUUCAUUGGAAAGGGUUUUUAAAAUAGUUUCCGUCACAUGGUGGUGCAUUCAUAACAUAACAAUGUAGUUCAUGCGAUGAUAUAGAAUGAAACAUCUGAAAUCGAGUUGCCAACAUUGUUACAGUUUAUUUAGUUCCGUUCGUUUAUUUAUUCGAGGCCACAUCGGAAGUGAAAUUCGUUUAAAAAUUGAAAAUUUUUGUAUCGAAAUUGAAUUUUAGCUAUGAAAUCGACAUGAAUUAUAACGGCAAUACAACCGUCGAGAAAAACAACUUGGCUGGCUAUUAGCAAUGCAUAUGAAUCGCAACAUUUGCAUGACAAUGUCAUUCUGUGCAAGGCGCCACCAAAAUAGAGCAGAAAGACACCGGUUAAACGGGGCGAUUCGAUCGAUUGAUUUAUAUUUUAAAUUUUUCAUCGAUUUGUGUUUGUUCAAAAAAAAAAACACACCAUACACCUUUGUGAAUGUGCAUGAAUGACGGCGUCAACACGUUUGAUCGCUGUGCCCGCAUUUAUCGCUCGAAACAAUGAAUAUACGUGUGUGUGGAAAGGUACGAGUGAUACCUUUUUGCACUGCUUUUUUCUUCUUAUUCGCAUUGUUUGUUUUAUCUAUACUCGUUACGUACACACUCAUGUGAUCGAUGUAUGAGUCUCAAUUGAUUCUAGAACCAACUGAGACGAAUGAUGAUAAAUGAUCGUAAGUGUGAGCGGCAGUAGCAAGGUCAAUGAGCAGAGCAGCAUCCUUGUGACAUGUAAUCGAAUAACAUACAAAUUUAAUGCCAUAUUCACGGUUUACAUGUUCGAUUCAGUGAAACGCGCGCAUUCAUAAAGUUGAUUCUCGUGAGGGUAAUUCGAUGCAUGUGAAUUUGAUAUUCGAUUUUCGUGCGCCGUUUGCCUUGUUGUCGCUUUUUUCUCAGGUACACAGACAUAAGAAAAAUAACGAUUACGCAAAAUUCAGUAGCCGUUCAUGUCGUACGAUGAAACAUUUAGCAAGUUGACUAUAAAGAAACAAACGAACUUAUCACAAUGCGACCAAGUUAGAUAACUCGACAAAAUGAUAACUAAAUGAUUAGUACCACUGGGUUAUUUCCAUAUGGUAAGCUCAGUAUCCAUUGCUCGAAGAUGAUUAAUUAGUUCUCGGUAGCAGCAAAAUUCCGUGUAAAGACGCAAAAUGGGCAAGAACGUUCACAAAAUGCCGUUGUUUGUUUGUUGUUUGCAAAGGUAGCUCCGUUUUUGCAAGUCUGAUGAGAAUAUUCUUUUCCAUAUCGCUAUUCAUUCAUACGGCUGAAUAUUGUUGAUUCUUUUUUGCGAUUUUCGAUCGAAUCAUCUCACUCAACUAUGUAUUUCGUUCAUAGACAGUCAAGACAUGUUUGAAUUGGAAUACCCUCUUGUUGAUACAAUUCUAAAUGGUGAUAUUCAUUAAUGUAUACGCAUAGCGUAUAUACGAUGACAACACACUUAUAGCUAGCUGCUCAGUCUAACUCAAUUAUUCCAUAUAUUAUCUUCGUUAAUUAGUCAUCAAGUUACAUGAAUUGGGCGAAGCGAAGCUUGGUGUUUUUCAGUUCCAAAGUCGCGAUUGCAUCAGCAAUAAAACCGGUAUUGAUAUAGCGGCUACUAUGACACAGAAAAAGUGCAUUUGAUUUGUUUUUUAAAUCAAAAAUUAAGUCGCCUUAGUUGCGCUUUUGUCUAUUUUCCAUCAUUUUUAUUAUUAUUAUCGUAAUUAGCGCACGAUUCGAGCUUAAUUCCCGUAAUGAGUCAGUCGAAGCAUUUCAAGUACGUCAAAAAUCAAUACUGUGCAAAGUGCAAAGUUGCAAUGAUUCCGUGCGGACUUCCUUUCGCAUUCGACUCAAAAUAAAUCCGAACGUUUCCUUCGCAAUUACGAACACUCGGGGUCUUGGGCAUUGGCAUUAUCGGGGGACAAAAAAAGAAAUCUUUUUAUCGCAUAAAAGGAAAUGAAAUGACAACGACCUCCUUUUUCUGCACACACUGCGCUCUGCACAACGUGCCAUACGUGGUCAAAUGUGCUUAACUUUAUUUUAAACGAUUGUUUUCCCGCACAUUUUUAUUGAAAUAGUGGCACUAUGGCAAGUGAAAAAAACAGACAAUCGUCGGCCACAACAUGGCUGUGCAAUGGCAGCUCCACAAUUUUUGAAUGUGCUUUUUAAUUGUGCGGUGUGGGCAACGUGAUCGUAAUAUGCAAACAGACGAUGGCGAGAUCAAGUUGACAAGAUACACACACGCUCACGUACAAGUUCGCCGAAACUGACAACGGGAAACCAACAAAGGAAGUUAAAAGAAAGUCACACACAUUGCAUGUGGCCAAUUUGUAUGUUUCUCUAUGUACUAUAUUCAGCUAGGCGCGUCGUCUAUUUUGUAUUUCACGCAACAACAACAAAAAAGAGAAAAUAAAAGAGCUUAAAAAUAGUAUGGAAACAUUCGCGAAGAAUCACAACACACCAAUUUUAGUGAGGGCAUUUGCUUUUUAUGCUUUGCAAAGGGGGGAAAGAAAGAGAUAGAGAGAUAGAGAGAGAAAGAGAGAGAGUGCGAGAAAUAAUAAGAAGAAAAA